rnacentral:lncRNA from 1 species
UAUUGUAAGAGAAUAACAUUAUAAAAAUAAGUCAAAAUGAACAAAAGUAAUGGCAGAAGUGUCUAUAAUUUAACAACAGAGAUGUUUUUAAAUACUUUUAAAAAUAUAAGGAUUAAACGGACACUAAUAUCAAAUUAUAGAGACUAAAUGAGCUUUUACCCUAACUAUAUAUAAGUUAUUGUGAUUAUAUUAGUAUAUACAUUUUUAUGUACUAUAAAUAUGUUAAAAUAAUAUAAGUUUCAUCAAGUAUUCGUAUUCCGGUGCUUGGUCAAAUUUUUUGGGUCAUUGGUAGCAAGAUUGUAAUUAAAUCUCUUUUUUAUCACUUUUACUUAGAUUUUUGUUCUCUUUUGUGCGGCGUGUGAUUUUAACAUGCAUGGCUUAUUGGCUCACAUGCAACUAAUUUCUUUCAAAUUUUCAAUAAAUAAUUCAGUUCAAAGGAAUCUCAAGCACUUUAAUUUCCGUAUAUUUGAUGCUUAAUUUUCAUAUUUAUUUGAAAUUCUUUCCACGUCAAUGAAAAUAAAUAAUUUUUCUAAAAAAGAAAGACAUAAAAUAAAGGGAAAUAUCUGCCAUCAGCGUAGAAAUAUGGGGAAAAAAAUAAAAUUUAACAUAGAGAAAGGAGGAAAAUGUGGGAAAUGGCAGUAAUUUGAGGCAGACAUACAUGCCGUUGCCGUCAUGAACUUUUUGGUAUUAUCAACUAUACUAUUAUUAUUUUAUUAUAUUUCUAAAAAAUGAUGUAUUAAUAUAAACUAAUAAUAAUAAUAAUAAGAUGUUUUAAUUUCAAAGCAAUGGGUUGAGUAUUGGUUGGUUUCUACCGUAGGAUUUGUAUUAUUUUUGACUCCAAGAAGUAAUAAGAUUAGAAUGAGGAUAAAGAGGAGCUUUGAAAGUUGAAAUUUCAGAUUUUCAAUUCACACUUUUGUUCAUGGUUUUGUCAUUUGUGCAAACAUUUUCUCUCCUCCACGCAAUACCCUCUCUUAUGCUUAAUGAGGUUUCGCGAUACUGAUUGCUCUUCUAAUUACAGGCAAAUCAAAGAAUAAAGAUAAUGAGCCGACUUCUUAACUCUUUUUUUUUUCUUUUUUUUUUUUGAAAAAAAAUAAGAAGAAGAAGAGUAAGGAUGAUGAAUUCUAACAACACUCGUUAAUUAGACACACAGAAUGUCUAAAUUGAUUUAGAAUGACACGGUUAUUAAAUGAGUCUAGCUAUGUUGGAACCGUUUUAAGGUAGAGUACGUUCUUAUAACCACACGAUCAAAAUUAUAAUGUGUUUUUUUUAUUAUUUAUUACUUUUGCGUAUGUGGAUGUAAUUUGUACUCCACCUUAGAGUAGCUCCAAGAUAGUCAUUGCCUUAUUAAAUAAGUGUAUAGCUUACUAAUCGUGUUGAAUUUAGAUUUUGAGAUCUUAACACAUAAAAACGCAUGAUUAUACGACAAUCGGUCAUCCAAUUAGUUAUGUUUAAGCCAACUCUUUUUCCAUACAAUAAAAUUAUGUUGUAUUUGUAUAUUCUCAUAAUUGUACCGUUACAUUUAGACUAAAUUUUAUUAGAAUCUUCUAAGUACAUAGCAAAUCUCUUUAAAAAGAUAUUAAAAACAUGUUAUAUAAGUGCUAUUUUUAGAAAUACUAAAAAUAUGUUAUUUGUCUUUUAGCUGCGUCUAGAUGGUAUAUUGCAGGUAACAAUACUAAAUAAAUUAAAUUUCAAAACCGUGGGUAAAAAUUUCUUUUGAAGACUUUUUGGACUUUUUCCUAUUCUUAUAAAUUGAUAUAUGAAAAGAUAUAUCGAGACUCGUUUUGAUUAGCACAUUAUAAUGACAAUAAUAGUCUGCAUAAUUAGAUGAACACAACUGAGUAUUUGUACCAAAGACGGGAAAAAUAUUUUUCUUAUGUAAUAGAAAGAUGUUGAAGCCUUUUCUUUCAAAAUAUUGUUUAGUGUUUACAAAUUUUGGAACUUAAUUGCCAAGUAAUAAAACAAAUCUAAAAGUAAAUUUGGUGAAGUAAAACAAAAUUUUGUAUUUUUUUUUCUUGUACACCGUAUUUAUUUCACAUAAUGUACUCUACUACUCUUGUUCUACUCUAUGCACCACAAAAA